ACGAAUGUUUAACCCCCUACAUACGCCCGAUCUCGUCUGAUCUCGGAAGCUAAGCAGGGUCGGGCCUGGUUAGUACCUGGAUGGGAGACCGCCUGGGAAUACCAGGCGCUGUAAGUG
ensembl:rRNA 5S_rRNA 5S ribosomal RNA